rnacentral:rRNA from 1 species
AUGAACGCUGGCGGCGUGUUUUAGGCAUGCAAGUCGAACGAACAGGUGUAGCAAUAUAUCUGUGAGUGGCAAACGGGUGCGUAACACAUUGGUAACCUACCCCGCAGUUCGGAACAACUCUUCGAAAGGAGAGCUAAUACCGGAUGUGGUCCGACUUUUAAUAGGUCGGAAGAACGGCGCAAGCCGCUGUGGGAGGGACCUAUGGUCCAUCAGGUAGUUGGUAGGGUAACGGCCUACCAAGCCUAUGACGGAUAGCGGGAUUGAGAGAUCGACCCGCCUCACUGGGACUGAGACACUGCCCAGACUUCUACGGAAGGCUGCAGUCGAGAAUCUUCCCCAAUGGACGAAAGUCUGAGGGAGCGACGCCGCGUGCAGGAAGAAGCCCUUCGGGGUGUAAACUGCUUUUCUUUGGGAACAACUCUGAGUGUACCAAAGGAAUAAGGGGCUGCUAACUUCGU